rnacentral:rRNA from 1 species
AUCGAACGCUGGCGGCAGGCCUAACACAUGCAAGUCGAACGAGUGGCGGCCGGGUGAGUAAUGUUUGGGAUAUUGCCCGAUGUCGGGGGAUAACUACUGGAAACGGUAGCUAAUACCUCAUACCAUCGGAUGUGCCCAGAUGGGAUUAGCUAGUAGGUGGGGUAACGGCUCACCUAGGCGACGAUCCCUAGCUGGUCUGAGAGGAUGACAGGACACACUGGAACUGAGGCACGGUCCGAACGACAAGUGGAGAAAGGAGUGGGGAAUAGGGCACAAUGGGCGCAAGCCUGAUGCAGCCAUGCCGCGGGUAUGAAGAAGGCCUGCGGGUUGUAAAGUGCUUUCAGCGGGGAGGCGUUACUCGCAGAAGAAGCACCGGCUAACUCCGUGCCAGCAGCCGCGGUAAUAC